GGAGGGCAAGCGGCAGCCCUCAGACGUGGGGCCUGGAGACCCAGCACCCUCCGCCGAUCCCAGAUGCGCGUGCGCCGCGCACGCAGUUGGCGCUUUAGGGUUCCCAGCUCUCUCUUGCCCGCCCCUUUUUUCUUCCCUCACCUCGUCGCUCUUUCUGGCGCUGCUGGUUUGCACUCUUGCCUGCUGUACGCGGGCCCCCAGUGCCCACUUAGAACCGCGAGGGCUCGGGGAACCCCCCCCACACCUGGCCCCGCCAUGUAACUCCGAAGACUUAGGCCCUUGGACGCAUCCGACUCACCCGCCCCUUGGUAUCGGCCGCCCCAGGUCCGCACCCCUCUCCUGCGCACCCAAGUGGGAGGGAGGCACAGAGGCCUCGACGCGGUCCCUGUGCCGGAGAGCCAGCAGCGCGCCUGGUUUUAGCGACAAGCAGGCUCCCGUUUGAAAAUGGGAUGGCAGCAUUUGCUUUCGUGUCUCCAGCGCCCUGUAGGACCUGGCCCCCAUAGACACUGUGAGGGAAUGAAUGGCGUGAAAAUAGUUGGCUUUCGAGUCCAACACAAAACUGGAAUGUCAGUUUUGUUCCGUCGGAAGUUGGGUGACCUAGAACAAGUUACUUUUCUUCUC
rnacentral:lncRNA from 10 species